rnacentral:rRNA from 1 species
GAAGAGAGGAGCUUGCUCUUCUUGGAUGAGUUGCGAACGGGUGAGUAACGCGUAGGUAACCUGCCUUGUAGCGGGGGAUAACUAUUGGAAACGAUAGCUAAUACCGCAUAACAAUGGAUGACACAUGUCAUUUAUUUGAAAGGGGCAAUUGCUCCACUACAAGAUGGACCUGCGUUGUAUUAGCUAGUAGGUGAGGUAACGGCUCACCUAGGCGACGAUACAUAGCCGACCUGAGAGGGUGAUCGGCCACACUGGGACUGAGACACGGCCCAGGCUCCUACGGGAGGCAGCAGUAGGGAAUCUUCGGCAAUGGGGGCAACCCUGACCGAGCAACGCCGCGUGAGUGAAGAAGGUUUUCGGAUCGUAAAGCUCUGUUGUAAGUCAAGAACGAGUGUGAGAGUGGAAAGUUCACACUGUGACGGUAGCUUACCAGAAAGGGACGGCUAACUACGUGCCAGCAGCCGCGGUAAUACGUAGGUCCCGAGCGUUGUCCGGAUUUAUUGGGCGUAAAGCGAGCGCAGGCGGUUUGAUAAGUCUGAAGUUAAAGGCUGUGGCUCAACCAUAGUUCGCUUUGGAAACUGUCAAACUUGAGUGCAGAAGGGGAGAGUGGAAUUCCAUGUGUAGCGGUGAAAUGCGUAGAUAUAUGGAGGAACACCGGUGGCGAAAGCGGCUCUCUGGUCU